rnacentral:lncRNA from 1 species
CGGAGUUUGAGGGAGAAAGGGUCAGUUUUGGCAUCAAGGUGUUCAUCGCCUUCAUCUUUAUUCAUACGCACGUGCUGCACGAUGGAUAUUGUGGACCCACAAGUGCUAAAAGUGUUUAUGGAGCUCGCAAUGACGGAGAAAGAAACAUCAAGAAUAGUGAUAAUGAUUUUAUUUAACAAAUUUAAUAUUGCUGCAAUAAAUAUGACGCAUAAAACAUGUUUAAUAUGAUAUUUAUUUUUCUUAUCGCAGAUGAAUGGAUUAACGUGGCAUCCGAAAUGUUUGCAGUGCUCUGUGUGCGGAGAGUCCUUGAGUCAACAUUACAGCAUCUUCAUCAGAAAUAAAAAGAUUUUCUGUAGAACGGAUUAUAACAGGUCUCUUCAUUGUUUGAGUCUCUUCCUGGCUAGUGAGGCUUUGGAGGACCGUCUCCGUGUGAAGCGCAGUUCUCUCAUUACAGUCAGAAAAUAUCCUUUCACCUGUGGAGGGAUGUGAUUGGAUGUUGACUUCCAUAGUCAACAGCUCUUCAGGAGGAGUCUAAGCAUAAAUACUCUGACUCACCUGAACAAGUACAAAUAAAAGCCACCAGUUCUUCCCCGGGUGAAACCACACUCAGGUGCUGCACUACAUUUGGACACAAUCCAUGUAAGUAUUAGAUUUCUUAUUCACAAAGUCUUCUUGGUUUGCAACCAAAUUACCAUCUAUUCUUUCUUUUAUUUUUUUAUUUUUUAUUAAAGCCAACAAAUUUGCAGGAUCAUUUUUCCAAAUGUAAUUCUUCACUGCAGUAUAAUAUUAAAUAUCAUUAAAUAGUUCCUUAAACAUUAGAUAUCUGUCUGAUGAAGAGUGUGAAGGAGAGCUAUUGGUUUUCUGUGCUUUCAUAGUACUUUUCAUAUGGCAUAAGGAAACAACAGGCUGAAUUCAGACUAACAACCAAUGAAUAUUUUGUUCACCAGCAGUGCGCAUAC